CCGAAUUUGGGAGAUUGAUUUAGAGAGAAGAGAGAGUAUUCUAGAGAGAGGGAGAGGAGUUUCUGUAAUGUACCGAAAUUUAAUAUAAAAGUAAGUGUAAAUAAAAAUAGUAUGAGAUACUAUUUUUAUUGGACUUAAAGAAGUAAAACAUAAGUCAAAAACGACUUAUGCUGAAAUCGGAAAGAAAAUAGAAGAUUUAGAAUUUUCUGUGAGAAACGGGGCUGAUAUUUUAGUAGAAAAUUCACAGUGUCAGAAAAUUAUGAAAACUUGGGAAUAUGUCGAAAUUAUUUUUAUGAGGCUGGAUUUAAAAUUUCAUGUCAUUCUGACACCCGAAAAGUGAAAAAUAAAAUCCGACUGCUAUCUACUAGAGAUUUCAGUUCGGUAGAGCUUUUGGGGACCAAAAAUGGUCGGAACUGAAAGAUUAAAAUUUUUUUUAUUUUUAUUAAGUUAAACCGAGCCUGAUUGUCAAAUUUG
rnacentral:lncRNA from 1 species